rnacentral:rRNA from 1 species
CUGAAUAGGGCGCAUAAGUAACAGGUCGUAGACCCGAAACCAGGUGAUCUACCCAUGUCCAGGAUGAAGGUAAGGUAAUACUUACUGGAGGUCCGAACCCACGCACGUUGAAAAGUGCGGGGAUGAGGUGUGGGUAGCGGAGAAAUUCCAAUCGAACUUGGAGAUAGCUGGUUCUCUCCGAAAUAGCUUUAGGGCUAGCCUCGAGGUAAAGAGUCAUGGAGGUAGAGCACUGUUUGGACUAGGGGCCCUUCUCGGGUUACCGAAUUCAGAUAAACUCCGAAUGCCAUGUACUUAUACUCGGGAGUCAGACUGCGAGUGAUAAGAUCCGUAGUCGAAAGGGAAACAGCCCAGACCACCAGUUAAGGUCCCCAAAUAUAUGUUAAGUGGAAAAGGAUGUGGGGUUGCUUAGACAACCAGGAUGUUGGCUUAGAAGCAGCCACCAUUGAAAGAGUGCGUAAUAGCUCACUGGUCGAGUGACCCCGCGCCGAAAAUGUACCGGGGCUAAACAUAUUACCGAAACUGUGGAUGAACCUCUUUAGAGGUUCGUGGUAGGAGAGCGUUCUAAGGGCGGUGAAGUCAGACCGGAAGGACUGGUGGAGCGCUUAGAAGUGAGAAUGCCGGUAUGAGUAGCGAAAGAAGGGUGAGAAUCCCUUCCACCGAAUAUCUAAGGUUUCCUGAGGAAGGCUCGUCCGCUCAGGGUUAGUCGGGACCUAAGCCGAGGCCGAUAGGCGUAGGCGAUGGACAACAGGUAGAGAUUCCUGUACCAGUGCUAAUUGUUUAACCGAUGGGGUGACACAGAAGGAUAGGGAAUCGCACGAAUGGAAAUGUGCGUCCAAGCAGUGAGUGUGAGAAGUAGGCAAAUCCGCUUCUUGCGAAGCAUGAGCUGUGAUGGGGAAGGAAAUUAAGUACGGAAGUUCCUGAUUUCACGCUGUCAAGAAAAGCCUCUAGGAAGAGUAGUACUGCCCGUACCGCAAACCGACACAGGUAGAUGAGGAGAGAAUCCUAAGGUGAGCGAGAGAACUCUCGUUAAGGAACUCGGCAAAAUGACCCCGUAACUUCGGGAGAAGGGGUGCUCUAUUAGGGUGCAAGCCCGAGAGAGCCGCAGUGAAUAGGCCCAGGCGACUGUUUAGCAAAAACACAGGUCUCUGCAAAACCGUAAGGUGACGUAUAGGGGCUGACGCCUGCCCGGUGCUGGAAGGUUAAGAGGAGUGCUUAGCUUCGGCGAAGGUACGAAUUGAAGCCCCAGUAAACGGCGGCCGUAACUAUAACGGUCCUAAGGUAGCGAAAUUCCUUGUCGGGUAAGUUCCGACCCGCACGAAAGGCGCAACGAUCUGGGCACUGUCUCAACGAGAGACUCGGUGAAAUUAUAGUACCUGUGAAGAUGCAGGUUACCCGCGACAGGACGGAAAGACCCCGUGGAGCUUUACUGCAACCUGAUAUGGAAUGUUUGUACCGCUUGUACAGGAUAGGUAGGAGCCGAAGAGACGUGUGCGCUAGCAUACGAGGAGGCAAUGGUGGGAUACUACCCUGGCUGUAUGACCAUUCUAACCCGCCACGCUUAGCGCGUGGGGAGACAGUGUCAGGUGGGCAGUUUGACUGGGGCGGUCGCCUCCUAAAGAGUAACGGAGGCGCCCAAAGGUUCCCUCAGAAUGGAUGGAAAUCAUUCGCAGAGUGUAAAGGCACAAGGGAGCUUGACUGCGAGACUGACAAGUCGAGCAGGGACGAAAGUCGGGCUUAGUGAUCCGGUGGUUCCGCAUGGAAGGGCCAUCGCUCAACGGAUAAAAGCUACCCCGGGGAUAACAGGCUUAUCUCCCCCAAGAGUCCACAUCGACGGGGAGGUUUGGCACCUCGAUGUCGGCUCGUCGCAUCCUGGGGCUGUAGUCGGUCCCAAGGGUUGGGCUGUUCGCCCAUUAAAGCGGCACGCGAGCUGGGUUCAGAACGUCGUGAGACAGUUCGGUCCCUAUCCGUCGCGGGCGCAGGAAAUUUGAGAGGAGCUGUCCUUAGUACGAGAGGACCGGGAUGGACACACCGCUGGUGUACCAGUUGUUCCGCCAGGAGCAUCGCUGGGUAGCUAUGUGUGGCAGGGAUAAACGCUGAAAGCAUCUAAGCGUGAAGCCCCCCUCAAGAUGAGAUUUCCCAUUUCUUCGGAAAGUAAGAUCCCUGAAAGAUGAUCAGGUAGAUAGGUUUGGAGUGGAAGUGUAGCGAUACAUGGAGCGGACAAAUACUAAUCGAUCGAGGACUUAACCAAAA